AUCAUAUGAUUUCAGCUACUCAGCAAACAGAGUGCACCAAAUAUCAUAUGGAUCAUAUGUAACCUGCAAAACAAAUGGAAAGAGUUCUAUGGUUCCCAAUCAUAACUGGGUCCGAAUGGAUUAGAGAUUUUUCUUUAACUGUGGUAACAACAGAAGCAACCUUAACAUGCUAAUUCUUAUCUAGACAUUGCCCUAAUGUGAUUCUCAAACAUGCUUUUCUAAAAUCAAUGCAAGUACAAAGACAUGCAUUCAUGACAUGAAAAUAAGCAGACAUGAUGUU
rnacentral:lncRNA from 1 species